rnacentral:rRNA from 1 species
AGAGUUUGAUCCUGGCUCAGAACGUACGCUGGCGGCACGCCUAACACAUGCAAGUCGAACGAAGUAGCAAUACUUAGUGGCAGACGGGUGAGUAACAUGUAGGUAUCUGCCCUUUGGCCUGGAAUAACACGAGGAAACUUGUGCUAAUACCGGAUAAGUCUUUACGGAGAAAGCUUUAUGCACCAUUGGAUGAGCCUGCACUUGAUUAGUUUGUUGGUGGGGUAAUGGCCUACCAAGACUGUGAUCAAUAGCUGAUUUGAGAGGAUGAUCAGCCACAUUGGGACUGAGACACGGCCCAAACUCCUACGGGAGGCAGCAGUGGGGAAUCUUGCACAAUGGAGGAAACUCUGAUGCAGCGAUGCCGCGUGAGUGAAGAAGGCCUUUGGGUUGUAAAGCUCUUUCGUCGGGGAAGAAAAUGACUGUACCCGAAUAAGAAGGUCCGGCUAACUUCGUGCCAGCAGCCGCGGUAAUACGAAGGGACCUAGCGUAGUUCGGAAUUACUGGGCUUAAAGAGUUCGUAGGUGGUUGAAAAAGUUAGUGGUGAAAUCCCAGAGCUUAACUCUGGAACUGCCAUUAAAACUUUUCAGCUAGAGUAUGAUAGAGGAAAGCAGAAUUUCUAGUGUAGAGGUGAAAUUCGUAGAUAUUAGAAAGAAUACCAAUUGCGAAGGCAGCUUUCUGGAUCAUUACUGACACUGAGGAACGAAAGCAUGGGUAGCGAAGAGGAUUAGAUACCCUCGUAGUCCAUGCCGUAAACGAUGUGUGUUAGACGUUGGAAAUUUAUUUUCAGUGUCGCAGCGAAAGCGAUAAACACACCGCCUGGGGAGUACGACCGCAAGGUUAAAACUCAAAUGAAUUGACGGGGACCCGCACAAGUAGUGGAGCAUGUGGUUUAAUUCGAAGAUACGCGCAGAACCUUACCAACACUUGACAUGUUCGUCGCGACUCUAAGAGAUUAGAGUUUUCGGUUCGGCCGGACGAAACACAGGUGCUGCAUGGCUGUCGUCAGCUCGUGUCGUGAGAUGUUGGGUUAAGUCCCGCAACGAGCGCAACCCUCACUUUUAGUUGCCAUCAUUAAGUUGGGCACUCUGAAAGAACUGCCAGUGAUAAGCUGGAGGAAGGUGGGGAUGACGUCAAGUCCUCAUGGCCCUUACGUGUUGGGCUACACACGUGCUACAAUGGUAUCUACAACAGGAAGCAAGACUGCGAAGUUAAGCAAAUCCCUAAAAGAUACCUCAGUUCGGAUUGCACUCUGCAACUCGAGUGCAUGAAGCUGGAAUUACUAGUAAUCGUGGAUCAGCGUGCCACGGUGAAUGCGUUCCCGGGUCUUGUACACACCGCCCGUCACACCAUGGGAGUUGGUUCUACCUUAAGGCAAGGUUUCAAACCCUUGACCACGGUAUAGUCAGCGACUGGGGUGAAGUCGUAACAAGGUA